UGCCAAAUCCUGGCUCCUCCUGGUGCUUAC
rnacentral:piRNA from 1 species